rnacentral:tRNA from 1 species
CUCCGCUUAGUGUAGUUGGUUUAUCGCGUUCGACUGUAAUAGCAAAUUGUUAUCGAAAGGUCCCUGGUUCGAUUCCGGGAGCGGAGA